GCUGCUUUAGCUCAGUGGUUAGAGUAGUACCUUUACACGGUAUUGGUCACAGGUUCGAUCCCUGUAAGCAGCA